rnacentral:rRNA from 1 species
GACGAACGCUGGCGGCGUGCUUAACACAUGCAAGUCGAACGGAAAGGCCCUGCUUUUGUGGGGUGCUCGAGUGGCGAACGGGUGAGUAACACGAGAGUAACCUGCUCUUGACUUUGGGAUAACUUCAGGAAACUGGGGCUAAUACCGGAUAGGAGCUCCUGCUGCAUGGUGGGGGUUGGAAAGUUUCGGCGGUUGGGGAUGGACUCGCGGCUUAUCAGCUUGUUGGUGGGGUAGUGGCUUACCAAGGCUUUGACGGGUAGCCGGCCUGAGAGGGUGACCGGCCACAUUGGGACUGAGAUACGGCCCAGAGUCCUACGGGAGGCAGCAGUGGGGAAUAUUGCACAAUGGGCGGAAGCCUGAUGCAGCAACGCCGCGUGCGGGAUGACGGCCUUCGGGUUGUAAACCGCUUUCGCCUGUGACGAAGCGUGAGUGACGGUAAUGGGUAAAGAAGCACCGGCUAACUACGUG